GACUCAUUUGGUGACUUUAAAGUGAAAUCCAAUGGCUAAAACUAUGCAAUACACCAACCACUCCAUUUCAUAACGAACUUCGUACGAACCUGAAUUGUCCAAUUUCAUGGAACAAUCGAUAUCGGAUUGUGUCCAAAACUUGGGGAACAUGAUCAUAUGAUGGGUUGGAGUCAUUUGGUGACUUUUGAAUGAAAUCCAAUGGCUAAAACUAUGCAACACACCACCC
rnacentral:lncRNA from 1 species